UACAGAGGUCUCAAGCGUUGUUUGGAUUCAUUGGGCGUAAAGGGUGCGUAGGCGGCGCGGUAAGUCGGGUGUGAAAUCUCGGAGCUUAACUCCGAAACUGCAUUCGAUACUGCCGUGCUUGAGGACUGGAGAGGAGACUGGAAUUUACGGUGUAGCGGUGAAAUGCGUAGAUAUCGUAAGGAAGACCAGUGGCGAAGGCGGGUCUCUGGACAGUUCCUGACGCUGAGGCACGAAGGCCAGGGGAGCAAACGGG
rnacentral:rRNA from 1 species